UACGAAGGUCCCAAGCGUUAUCCGGAUUUAUUGGGUUUAAAGGGUGCGUAGGCGGGCUAUUAAGUCAGUGGUGAAAGCCCCAAGCUUAACUUGGGAACUGCCAUUGAUACUGAUGGUCUUGAGUACAUUUGAGGUGGGCGGAAUGUGUCAUGUAGCGGUGAAAUGCUUAGAUAUGACACAGAACACCGAUUGCGAAGGCAGCUCACUAAACUGUAACUGACGCUGAGGCACGAAAGCGCGGGGAGCAAACAGG
rnacentral:rRNA from 1 species